GGCAGCUCCGGGUGCUGGCGCUGGAGGUGGCUGCGUGGCGUGGGGCUGGCAGGCACGGCAAGGAGGAGGGAGAGCUGUGAGAUGGUUGGAAAGGGCACCUCCUCUCCUCCCUUCACCUAUCAACGAGCAGUUUGGGUCUAAUUACGUCGGACAAGCAUUAAAGUCAGGAGCUGAGAGCCCGGCAAGAUGGAUGGGUGGGUGCUCUGCUCCGCACCUUGGCUUUGUGUCCCACCGCAGGAGGCGUGCAGCAGUCUGGGCUGAUUUACUUUAGAUUUGAGCUGGGAGUAAAUUGCAAGGCAUGAAUCAUCUUGACGCAGACGCUCCGGAGAUGGAUUACCUGGUUUGGCAGCUCGCUCUUCUCUUUCCACAGCCUUCCUUGCUUGAUGCCUUUCAGUGCAGAGUUUCAUCUCCAAGGCACAGGAGAGGGCUCCUGCUCCACGGUCCUGACCCCGGCACACCUUGGAGCCCCGGGUGCUGCUGGCUGUGAGCGUGAAUCCCCACCAAACCCAGGCCUGCGGCUGGCCUGGCCACGCUCCCCCCUUCACCCAGCACUGCCAAACCGACCAGAAGUAGCUUCA